ensembl:lncRNA
GUACAGAGUCCAUAUGGAGGCUAUAUGCAGCAGAUUCCGGUACAGAGUCAAUAUGGAGGCUAUAUGCAGCAGAUUCCGGUACAGAGUCAAUAUGGAGGCUAUAUGCAGCAGAUUCUGGGAAAGAAUCAAUAUGUAGGCUAUAUACAUCAGGUUCCAGUACAGAGUCAAUAUGGAGGCUUUACACAGCAGGUUCCGGUACAGAGUCAAUAUGGAGGCUAUAUACAGCAGGUUCCGGAACUGAGUCAAUAUGGAGGCUAUAUACAGCAGAUUCCGGUACAGAGUCAAUAUGGAGGCUAUAUACAGCAGAUUCCGGUACAGAGUCAAUAUGGAGGCUAUAUGCAGCAGAUUCUGGGAAAGAAUCAAUAUGUAGGCUAUAUACAGCAGGUUCCGGUACAGAGUCAAUAUGGAGGCUUUACACAGCAGGUUCCGGUACAGAGUCAAUAUUGAGGCUAUAUGCAGCAGAUUCCGGUAC